rnacentral:rRNA from 1 species
UACGGAGGGGGCGAGCGUUAUUCGGAAUUAUUGGGCGUAAAGGGCGCGUAGGCGGCGCGAUAAGUCAAAGGUGAAAUCCCUCGGCUCAACUGAGGAACUGCCUUUGAGACUGUCGAGCUCGAGGCCGGGAGGGGGUAGCGGAAUUCCCAGUGUAGCGGUGAAAUGCGUAGAUAUUGGGAGGAACACCAGUGGCGAAGGCGGCUCACUGGACUGGUAUUGACGCUGAGGUGCGAAAGCGUGGGGAGCAACAGGGAU